GCUGGGCGUGGUGGGGAGUGCCUGUAGUCCCAGCUGCUCCGGAGGGUGAGCCCAGAAGGAUUGCUUGAGUCCAGGAGUUCUGGGCUAUAAUAUGCUAUCCUGAUCGGGUAUCCGCACUAAGUUUGGCAUCAAUAUGGUGACCUCCCAGGAGCUGGGACCACCAGGUUGCAUAAGGAGGGGUAAACCAAGAUGAAAAUGGAGCAGGUCAAAACUCUCAUGCUGAUCAGUAGUGGGAUCACACUGGUGAAUAUCCACUGCAUGCCAGCCUAGGCAACAUAGCAAGACCCCCAUCUCU
rnacentral:SRP_RNA from 1 species